rnacentral:lncRNA from 1 species
GGUUAGGGUUAGGGUUUUCGGAUAAGGGUUAAUAUCACUGUCCAAAAACCUUUGAGGAACAUGUUUCAAACCUUUUGGAGUAAGUUAGACCAAAAAAAAAAAAAAAACGAAAAAAAAAUGUUUGGGGUGUUAGGGCUUCUUUUCUGUUAUACCCGGGUAUUGGUUUAAAGGUCCUGGGUUUGGGUUUGGGGGUUAGGAUUAAAAUCAAUCUGCCAGACGUUUUUUAGGAGCAUGUUUCAGACCUUUUGAGCGUGAAUUUGCGGGGUUACUUAUAGAAGUGGAUGUGUGUGUGUGUGUGUGUGUGUGUGUGUGUGGGGGGGGUGGGGGGGGGGCUUAAGGGUGGGAGUGCAGGGGCCCAAUUGAGGGCUGGGUAAAUGGGGUGUGCAGGGGCCAGAGGGAGGGCUGGGUUUCAAAGGUGUUCAGGGGCCUGAGGAAGAUCCUGGGGCCGGGGAGGGGGUUGCUGGAGAACAGGGUAUUGGGUGACAGGGCUAGGGUUAGGGUAAAAAAUCACUGUCCUAGACCUUUUUAGGAACAUGUUUCAAACCUUUAUGAGUUCGUUAGAACAAACAAAAGAGGAUAAAUGUCAAUCUUUUUUUGGGGGGUGUCAGGGCUUCCUUUCUGUAACACCUGGGUAUUGGGUUACAGUGCUAAGGUUAGGAUUAUAGGGUCAGGGUUAAAAUCACUGACCAGAACCUUUAUAGGAGCAUGUUUCAGACCUUUUUGAGUAAGUUUGAACAAAAAAACGGAAAAAUGUCAAAAAAAAUUGGGGGGGGGGUUUAGGGCUUCCUUUAUGUAACACCCGGGUAUUGGGUUACGGCGCUAGGGUAAGGUUUAAGGUUUUUGGGGUUAGGGUUAAAAUCACUGACCAGGGGCCUCAUUUAUAAAGCUUGCUUACGCACAAAACCUGGCUAGAAAUUGCGUACGCCACUUCUUACGCAAGAGUUGGGAUUUAUAAAAGAAAAACUAGUGUAGGAAUGUGCGCAACUUUAAGCAAACUCCACACCUUGCUUACGCACUUUUUGGAGACAAUCGGAGCAAGGUGAGAAUAGUCGGGGUGAUGCGUUCAGCACAACGGAUGACUCAAAGCAGCCUUUCUGUCCUGAGAGCUGCAGCUGCCGUACCAGGCAGUGAUGCUCGCAGAAAGCGCAGACCCCACUGUGGCGGUGUAGAUAGUUUGCCAAUUUGAAUUUACAAAUGUGCAAAAAAACAAAUUCCAUUUACAUGCAUUUGUUUUAAGUUUAUAUGACUAAAUCUUUUUGGUUUACGAACUUUCACCACAUAAGCAGCGGUGGAUAACGGAGCGGUUUUUUUUUUUAACACAUGCACGAGUGUCACACGUGCAUGUUUUUUCUGAUUCUCACCUGUCGCCGCCACGCUCUGAUGGUGCAAAGCCACUUUUUUCUUUGCCUCCACCUUUAGAUCAGACCACUUCUUCUUGAUUUCGGCACAGUGUUGUUUUCGUCUACGUCAUCGUCAACGAAAACAAAACUCCACGUGUUUGCGCGCGCGUGCGUGUGUGUCUGUGUGUUGGAGGAGCACAGCAGACUGAUGAGAGCUGUCAGAGCGGACAGAAGCUGCUCCUAUAUGUUUAGCGUUUAACUGACUGAGUUUUGCAACUCUGGUCGUCAUUUUCGUCUCGUCCCAUCAACGUAAAAGCACUUUCGUCUUGUCACAUUUUAGUCAUCUCCGACUUAUGUUUAGCUCGUCAACGUUACGUCUUCGUCGUGGAAGAAAAGGGAAAUAUUUCCGUCAACAAAAACAACCAGUGUUGUUCUCGUUGAUGAAAAUAUUUCCUUUUGACGCUGGUGUUGACAAAAAUAUUCGACGAAAUAUGACGAAAACAACACUGUAAUUCGGCAACGCUGCGCUCAGUGCCAGCCGCAAUUGCCACCACGGCAACGGCGUUUUUAUUGGUGAUGCCACUCGAAUGGCCGCCGAAUAAGGUCUCCCGUCUCGCCGCCACCUCAUUUACAAGAACCUCCACCUCGAUCUCUGAAAAGUUUCUUUUUCUACGACUUGCUGAUGCCAUGGUUAAGCGUGAAAUGCCGUGGAUCCACCAGGCUUAUUUACAUGCAAAUCACAUUCAUGAGGUAAUUUGCAUGACCAUACAUGGUGAAUUUUGGGUGUGGAGAGGGCGGGGAAGAAUCAAAUCCCUGCUGAGCAACUUUCCAGCUGGUCUGUGAUUUAUAAAGGGAAAGUGCGUGCAGGUGUGCGUAGGCAGGGUUUUAUAAAUCAGAUUUUUUUUUUGCCUACGCACUUUUCAGCUUUUCAACUUACGUACACUUUUAGUAUGGAUUCUACGCCAGGUUUUAUAAAUGAGGCCCCUGGACCUUUAUUGGAGCAUGUUUCAGACCUUUUUGAGUAAGUUUGAACAAAAAAAAAGGAAAAAUGUCAUUUUUUUAAAUGUUAAGGCUUCCUUUUAGUAACACCCGGGUAUUGGGUUUACAGGGCUAAGGUUAGGGAUCUGGAGUUAGGGUUAAAAUCACUGUCCUAGAGCUUCUUAGGAGGAUGUUUCAGACAUUUUGGAGUAAGUCAAAGCAAAAAAAAAAAUUUUAAAUUGUCAAAAAUAUUUUCUAGGGGUGUUAGGGUUUCCUUUAGGUAAUAACCGGGUAUUGGGUUACGGGGAUAGGGUAAGGUUUAAGGUUUUUGGGGUUAGGGUUAAAAUCACUGUCCAAAAACCUUUGAGGAACAUGUUUCAAACCUUUUUGAGUUUGAUAGAACAAAAUGAAAAGAAAAAUGCCAAAUAAUUUUUCUUGGUGUUAGGGCUUCCUUUAAGUAACACCCAGAUCUUGGGUUACAGGGCUAGGGUUGGAAUUAUAGGGUCAGGGUUAAAAUCACUGACCAGGACCUUUAUAGGAGCAUGUUUCAGACCUUUUUGAGCAAGAUUGAACAAAAAAACAGAAAAAUGUCAAAAAAAUUUUGGGGGGUUUUUAGGGCUUCCUUUAUGUAACAUCCGGGUAUUGGGUUUCGGUGCUAGGGUAAGGUUUAAGGUUUUUGGGGUUAGGGUUAAAAUCACUGUCCAAGACCUUUUAGGGAACAUGUUUCAGAUCUUUUGGAAUUAGGUAGACCAAAAAAAGACAACAAAGAAUGUCAAAAAAAUGUUUGGGGUGUUAGGGCUUCCUUUAUGUAAUACCUGGGUAUUGGGUUACGGGGCUAGGGUUGGGUUUAAGGUUUGGGAUAAGGGUUAAAAUCACUGUCCAAGACCUUUUUAGGAGUACGUUUCAGACCUUUUGGAGUUAGUUAGACCAAAAAAAAAAAGAAAAAUGUCAAAAAAAAUGUUUGGGGUGUAAGGGCUUCCUUUAGGUAUUACUUGGAUAUUGGGUUAAGGGGCUAGGGUUGGGUUUAGGGUUUUGGGAUUAGGGUUAAAAUCACUGUCCAAAAACCUUUGAGGAACAUGUUUCAAACCUUUUGGAGUUUGUUAAAACAACAAAAAAGAAAAAUGUCUGUUUUUUUUGGUGUAAGGGCUUCCUUUAAGUAGCACCCAGAUAUUGGGUUACAGGGCUUAGGUUAGAAGGUUUAAGGUUUUUGGGGUAAAGGUUAAAAUCCCUGACCAGGACCUUUAUAGGAGCAUGUUUCAAACAUUUUGGAGUAAGUUAAAACAAAAAAAAGGAAAAAUGUCAAAAAAAAUUGUGAGGGGGGGGGGGGUUUAGGGCUUCCUUUAGGUAAUACCCAGGUAUUGGGUUACAGGGCUAGGGUAUUGGGUUAUGAGUCUAGGGUAAGGUUUGAGGUUUUUGGGGUUAGGGUUAAAAUCACUGUCCAAGACCUUUUUAGGAACAUGUUUCAGACCUUUUGGAGUUAGUUAGACCAAAAAAACUGAAAAAUGUCAAAAAAAAAAAUGUUUGGGGUGUUAGGGCUUCCUUUAGGUAAUACCCGGGUAUUGGGUUAAGGGGCUAGGGUUAGGUUUAGGGUUUUGGGAUUAGGGUUAAAAUCACUGUCUUAGAACUUUUGAGGAACAAGUUUCAAAACUUUUGGAGUUUGUUAGAACAAAAAAAAGGAAAAUUUUCAAAACAAAAUAUUUGGGGUGUUGGGGCUUCCUUUUAGGGUUUUGGGAUAAGGGUUAAAAUCACCGUCCCAGAACCUUUGAGGAACAUGUAUCAAACCUUUUGGAGUUUGUUAGUAAGGUGAAAGUGAUAUGCAAUUGCCAUUUCUUUUGUGUCAACAAACUAUUGUCAACAUGACAUGAGAUGGUAAUAUUUCAAACACAGAUUACCUACAUGCCGAAAUUACUAUCUAUCUAUCUAUCUAUCUAUCUAUCUAUCUAUCUAUCUAUCUAUCUAUCUAUCUAUCUAUCUAUCUAUCUAUCUGUACCCUAGUUAUGUUACUUCAUGACUGCAUGUUAAAGAAUGAAACAAGGCAAAGUUGAGAAAACUUUUUAUAACAAAUAUUUAUAACAACAAUAAUAUAAUAAUAAUAAUAUUUAUAAUUAAAAUAUAAUAAUAAUAUAAUUAUAAUAUUUAUAACAACAAUAAUAUAGUAAUGAUAAUAAUAAUAAUAAUAAUAUAUUUAUAAUAUUUAUAACAACAAUUUAUAACAACAAAAAAUCAAACAAAUUUUACAAAGGCUGCAACAGCAGAUAUUAAUAAUAUAAUAAAAUUUAUUUUAAAACUAUAUACAAAUGUACAAAGGAGCCUGGCUUGUUCCCCCCCGAGGCUGUCACCCCAGCUAAGGUUCCACUGCUUCCAAAUUUAAGGUGAAAUCUUGUGCUUCAUAAAUUAAUUUGUAUAUUUGAAAUUUAACAUGUUCUUUAGCCUGGGGUGAGAGCCUCGCGAGAGAAGGAACCAGGCUCAAGAGGAACAGUUCGUCCGCUGAUGAGCGAGAUGCGGGUGGUGGUGGUGGUGGUGGUGCAUUGUGUUGCCUCAGCAGGGCCUGAAAGAGGAGCUCCUCAAUCUCCUCCAACCUUGAGGUGGGAGGCGUCAUCCUCUUCCUCCCUGUCAUAAAAAAAAAACUAAUCGGUUACUAUUUGUUUUAUGAUUUCUAUGUGAAUUUGACCUUGAGCAAUUUUGUUGUAUAUAUGGUUAAUAUUUCUUUUCAAUACCUUUUGGACUGGCUGCAGUGGCGCCCGAGGCAUCACUCGGUGGAGCAGGUGAGGGAGCAGGAGAAGAGGGGACUCAUGGUUUAAUUUUAAUUUUAAAAUUUAUUUGCUAUCUUUUUCACUCAUCAACCAACAGUCCAUGCUCCACUCCUGAGGGGUCUUCUUCCUCCAGCUCUUCAGGCAUCCCAGCAGAAGAAGCAGCAUUUUCUGCUGUGACAUCUUCCUCGACCUCCCGAGACAUGUCGCUGGUAGUCUCCCUCAGGGCAAUAAAGGGGUCGAGGAAGGACAUCACCGCAGAGAAACGCCAGAAACGCUGGGAGGCCGCUGGCCCAUCUUCCUUCUCCCUCCUUUUCUCCCUCAUGUAAACAUCCCACAGCCCCUUCCAGCGCUUGCGGCACAUAUCCACUGCAAAGACACACACACACACACGUUGAAACAUGUAGCCUAGCAAGCAGGGGCAGUAUGCUAUGUUUUCAGAAAAUAGUCUGCUCACUGAAAUAAAUAAACAAACAAGCUUACCAGAAAGCCCAACAUCAUGGGCCACCUUCACCCAUGCUUCCUCCUUGGAGGUGCGGUCCCGGUAGAACCCGCACCCCACGUCGUACAGCACUGGGUGAUAGCUAACGGCAGUGAUGAGCUGCUCCUCCAUUGUGUGAAUCUUCUUCUCCUCCUCCUUUCUUUGCCGGUUUGUUGACGUCAGCAGAGCCCUGAUUGACUGUCGUGGCACGGAGUUGUGGAAAGUCGUGACUUAGGUUAGGGUUAGGGUUUUGCGAUUAGGGUUAAAUCUCUGUCCAGGACCUUUUUAGGAACAUGUUUCAAACCUUUUGGAGUUCAUUAGAACAAAAACAAAGGAAAAUGUCAAUCUUUUUUUGGGGGGGGGGUGUCAGGGCUUCCUUUCUGUAACACCCGUGUAUUGGGUUACAGUGCUAAGGUUAGGAUUAUAGGGUCAUGGUUAAAAUCACUGACCAGGACCUUUAUAGGAGCAUGUUUAAGGGUUAAUGGGGUGUGCAGGGGCCAGGGGAGGGCUGGGUUUCAAAGGUGUUCAGGGGCCUGAGGAAGAUCCUGGGAAAGAGGGGGUUGCUGGAGAAAAGGGUAUUGGGUGACAGGGCUAGGGUUAGGGUUAUAGGGUUAGGGUAAAAAAUCACUGUCCAGGACCUUAUUAGGAGCAUGUUUCAAACCCUUAUGAGUACGUUAGAACAAAAAAAAGAGGAAAAAUGUCAAUCUUGUUUUAGAGUGUGUCAGGGCUUUCUUUCUGUAACACCUAGGUAUUGGGUAACAGUGCCAAGGUAAGGGUUAUAGGGUCAGGGUUAAAAUCACUGACCAGGACGUUUAUAGGAGCAUGUCUCAGACCUUUUGGAGUUCGUUAGAACAAAAAAAAAUUUUUGUUGUUAGGGCUUCCUUUAAGUAACACCCGGGUAUUGGGUUACAGGGCUCGGUUCAGGGUUAGGGUUAAAAUCACUGUCCAGGACCUUUUUAGGAGCAUGUUUCAGACCUUUUGGAGUUCGAUAGAACAAAAAAAAUUUUUUGUUGUUAGGGCUUCCUUUAAGUAACACCCGGGUAUUGGGUUACAAGGCUAAGGUUAGGGACAGUGGGGGUUCUAGACUAAUUGACCCCCCCCCCCCCCCC